AAGUCGUAACAAGGUUACCGUAGGUGAACCUGCGGUAGGAUCAUUUCCAAUAAACAAAAAAAAACCAUUAUCAACACCCUGUCCUGAGAGUGGAUUGGGGGAAAGGAGAAGAAAAGAACAUUGUGUUUUUUUUUAAUUCCUUUCUCACUUUACAUCAGUAAGGCGGUUAUGUGAAACGUUAUGCAAACCUUUUUUUUUACUCUCGAAAAAGGGCGACCUUGAGUAGAGAGGCCUUGAUGAACCCAUACAAGCUUGAGAGUGGCAACACUUUCUUGAUUGUUAUCUUAUAUUCUUUUUUUUCAAACGAAAAAAAAUCAAAUAUUUGACAACUUUUAACGGUGGAUCUCUUGGCUCGU
rnacentral:misc_RNA from 1 species